ACGCUCUCUUUUUUUCACCACGGCUCCUCCCAGCCACGGGGUUUCCAGGGGAAGCGAGAGAGGGGGCACUGCUGCCCAGCAGCAACCAAGGACAGGGGAUCGCUCGGCAUCCCUUUUCCAGCAGAAGGAGCCCAAAUCGUCCGAGCAGGAUUUUGGCGACGAGCAGCUGCAAUGGCGUGGCCGGAGGCAUCGACAGGGAAGCAGCGGCCAGGGAUUUUGCUGGAAUGGAUGGCGAGCAGCGUUGCAGAGCCUGGAGGUGUGGACGUGAGGCACAGGAAUUCCUAUUUUUGAUCCAGCAGGGGAUUCGCUUUCAUCACGUACAAAAGUGUUGACGACCCGAGGAAAGCUAUAGAUGAUCCCAACAAGACAACAGUGGGAAUGCACGUAAUUGUAAAGUGAGCAGCAGAUGGUCGGCUCCAGAGCACGCGACGAGCAAGUGGUACAUCGUUCCAUCACUCACCCACACAACACACACAAUAGUGUUGCGAUGGGACAGGGAGCACAAACUCACGCAGUAAGCAAAGCAUUAUCACUUCAUUAUAACGUUUAAGACACUAACUAGCACAAACAUACAUAUAGCUUUUACAACAGUAAUAUCAAGAGGCUAUAGAGUAUCGACAUCAAACAAAUCUUAAUAAUCACAUUAAACAGCAGUCAAUUUCGAAUUCCUAUUUGCCCUGUU